UAAAUGAGGUUUGUGUUUAUAAUAGUAGUCUUGUGGGGUGGAUUUGUUUAAACUAAUGUAAUCGUCUACUUUAAGCCAGGUUUCUGUGCAUCUAAGUUUUGGUCAGUAAUUAUUUCAUUAUUAUUUCAUUGACAAUAGGUUCUUUAUUUGUAAGCGAUCUAAUGUUAAGGCGGCCAAAUUUUAACAUUCGAGGUUCAUCUGUAAGUGUAUUGUUUUCUAAUUUUAUGUUAAUAAGAUUUGUACGAGAUGAGGUAAACGGUGCUCUGUAUUUGUUUGUUCGAGGAACGAACCUAGUUGAAAUGUGUUGAUACUCUGGUAAGAUGUGCUGGGAUAUAUGUGAUCUUGACAUGUCAAGGCAGCUAACAGACGGACGGGUAAGCCGAUUUAUCUGUUUCCUGACCUGGGCCUUUGGUAGUCAGACUGUAUUAGAAGUAAGAGUAUUGGUCAGAUUUCUAGAGAGUAUAGCAUUUCCUUCCGAUGACGGAUGAAGGCCAUCUCUCUUUAGCAGGUCAGGUCUCCCCCUGAAAUACUUCCAAUUGUUAAUAAACCCUACGUUAUGCUGAGGGCACCAUUUUGACAUCUAGUCGUGAAGAGAAACUAAUCUGCUAUAAGUUUCAUCACCCUGGUAGGCAGGGAGGGGACCAGAGCAUAUAACAUUAUCUGACAUUGUUUUUGCAAUUUCACACACCUCUUUAAUAGUAUCUUUGGUGAUCUCCGACUGGCGGAGUCUGGUGUCAUUUGUGCCGGCAUGAAUAACAAUUUUAGAAAACUUACGCUUAGCAUUGGCCAGCACUUUAAGUUUGGAUCUAAUGUCUGACGAUCUGGCUCCCGGUUUACAGUCAACUAUGGUGGCUGGUGCCUCAAUGUUCACGUUCUUGAGUAUCAAGUCUCCAAUAACCAAGGCACUUUUAACAGAUGUCUCAGCCGGUGUAUUGCUUAGAAUGUUGAAUCUGUUAGAAAUUACUAGGGGGGUCUUGGGUGGGCAUCGGAUAUGACUAUGCCCACCCAGCACAAGACGUCAUUUAGACGUUGUUUUUUGGGCUAAAUCACGUCGGCCCGUCAUGACCUUCAUUUAGCCCAAAAAAAGACGUUGAAAACGGGUCUUUGUUUGGUCCGUCUAAUUCAGUCCAAAUUUAGCCUAAAAUUAGACGUCUUUUUCGGACCACUUUUCAACGUGUCUCCAUUCAAUAAUAAUCCUGACAAAAUAUGCAUGAAUGUAUAAAUACUGAGCACAUUGAACGAUAAUGAAACACAUGCUUUGUUUAAAGUCUAUUAAUAUUUCUGUUUAUUUUAAUUAAAUAAAUAUGUUAAAUGUGCUCUAAACAGGUAAUUUCGGUCCUGUACAACACUGACAGAAGCACUUCAUUUUCAUCUUUUAACAAAUAUCUUUAUUUUUUUUUUAAUAUGAUAUUAUUGGCAGAGGCGCGCGUCCGUCUCAUGCUUUGUGAUCACGUGAUUAUUCAACGGGGAGACGCGCGUUCUGGAUUUACCGAUUUUCUCCUCAGACAAGUGUUUCUGUUUUGUGGUCGAUUCUGGGGUAAGUUUCCUUAAAUUCGUGGUUACUUUAUUGAAAUUAGUUCACAGGGAUGUUAAUUCAGUUGUCAGUAUAUGUCGAUACGACUAAUAAAUGAUCAAUUUGAAUGUUUAUCGUUUGUUAGUAAUGUUCAAGCGCUGUCAGCUUGACUGAGCUCGUCGCGCAGGUGACGAGCAGGUCAGUUAAUGGAAAUCUUUUAUUUGUCUUUAUAUCUUCUAUAUAAUUGUGUUAUGCUUGUUUUUAAAUGUAUUUUAAAUUGUUUAGUUAAUUAUAAUGCAAGUUUACUCCAAGUAUUGUAGUGUGGGCUUUUUUCAGCUUACGGCUAGCCUGAUUGAGCUCGUGGCACAGCUGUGAGCUAGCAGUUAACAUCCUUUUCUUGGUGUGUUGAUGUUUUCUAUUGGCUAAAGAGUAAGUAUUACUUUGUUCAUAUUUUCACAGCCACCAGAAUCAGAAGUAAGUGCUCAAAAGUAAAAUAGCAUGUUGGCCUCUUCAAUGCAAUGAUAAAUAAAAUAGUUAUAACUAAUGAAAUAGUCAUAUCUCACUUUGACUUUAUGUACAGUUUGCUCGAGGUCAAAACACAGCUCAUUCAUACAAAUCAAACAGUGACACUGGCUAUAUGUCUGCUUUCUUUUUUAUAGCAAUAAAAGCAUAGAGAUAUAUAAAGCAAAGACAACUAUAAGAUAAUCCUUCAGGAGCCAGUAAAACAUAUACAGUUACAGCAGUAAACAUACUUGUUUUGGGGUAAGAAAAACUAGUACAGUGUAGAUAUGAAUUAUGGUAUCCUAAGCACUUCUCUUAUUAUUGCUUCUGUCUUGUUCUUGAUUUUUUGUAGUGCAAAUAAGGAGAUUUAGAGUAAGUACAAAUUGAGCUUUUAGUACUGACGUGAAUGUUACAUCGCCAUUCGUUUGAAAGAAAUAGAAAAGUGCUACGUUUUAUUUUGUACCACCAAACUUGCUCGUAUAACUACGAUAAUAAUAAUGAUGCUGCUGUUUACUCCAUUGUAGCAAGUCUCUGUGAAACUGACAAUCUCAGGGUGGAACUGCUGGUUUGUGGUUGGCAGUAUGGAUCACGGUCUGCGACUCAUGAGGAGCUGGUCUGGAGACAUGAAGAGGUUUUCAACAGAGGUCUGAAGCUAAUACCUGCCACGGUCUGAUUGGUAUUUCAUGAGGAAUCAUGGGUUCCUUGGUAUUUGAAUUAUGUUGAACCAGGCAAGUACUCCAUCUUUCGAUCAUGUGUUCUGUCUACUUACACAUUCCUAGCCAGAAUAACAUUUCGUGCUCUUAGCUUAGACUUCUCAGCGUGUGCGCAUAUCUCAGGUCAGAUAUGACUAUUUUCUUAUCUUCACUGGUCAAUGAAAGUUUGUCUUAAAAGUCAAUAAUGUAUGUGGAAAUUCUCUCCUCUUUGCAGGCCAUCCAUCCAAGAUCAUCUAUCUGUUGGAGCUUUGUGUCACUGACUGUAUUUCUGCAAAUUCCUGUUUCGUGUCACAUUGCUUAUGCAAGACUGAAACCAUAAAGGUGAUGGUCUGUGGAUACUGUGGGCGAUUCCUUCUGCUGUCAUUUAAACAUGAGGAGGAGUAAUGACGGGUUUAAAUGGAUGCAACUAAUAUUAUGCCAGAGUCCGCUGCUUAUGCUGUAACCAUAAUGCAUCCAGGACAACACACCUGGAGUGACUGAGAGCAGGAUGAAGAAAGAAUUGGAUGAGAAAAUGUCAACUGGUGCCCAUGAGGAGACAUAUUGUUCUUGGACCUGCUUUUUCUGUUUAGUAAUAAGUGGUUUUAUGUGGUUACAUAAAAGUAAUUUAAUAUUCAAUCCACAAGCUAAAUUUCCUACAUUUUCUUAAAAGGGUAGUUGACCCAAAAAAGAAAAUUCUGUCAUUUACACAAACAGUUUGGUUACAAACAUUUCUCACAAUAUCUGCCUUCCUGUUUAUCAGAACAAAGAAAUUUAUGCGGGUUUGUAUCAACAUGAGAGUGUGUAAAUGAUGGCAUAAUUUUCAUUUUUGGGUGAAGCACCCCUUUAACAUUUUUAUACCCAGGGGUAGGGGUGUGCAGCGGAGUCAAUAUUUGUAUCUGUAACAGUCUCAAAAUUAUUUGUAUCUGUAUUUGUAUUCGGAUGGAACCGGAAGUGGGCGUGUCUUAAACCGGAAGUUUGUCAUAUUACAUUAAAAUGGCAUUUUAAAUGCAUUUUUGCUUUUUAUUAUAAUUAUAACUUAAAUAACUGUAAAUAGUUAUUAAAAAUAAUAAUACAAAUUUUUUAUCAAAAAGACAAAUAACUUGAUUCUCGUUAGUAAUACUCAUGGAAAGCAAACAACUCAUUUUUAAAGCCUCAUACAGCUUGUGCUAUGCAUCAUUGUAUUGUAGCAUUAAAAUAACAAACUUGAAAGCACGUUGACAAAACUGUAGGCUACAUCACCUUUAAAUGUUUAUUGUGCCUGUCAGCAGAGUUCCAUGUGACCCAUUCUGCCUAAAUGAGUGCGAUGUUUUCAGAAAAAAUAAGUAGCCUACAUUAAUCCCUAGUCUAGCGAUUUAAAUAUAGUAAUUAAUCAUCUAAAAUGAUCGUUAUUUGUACGUUUUCUAAAAGAGUGAAAUAUAACCUAAUACUACUCAUAUAUCCGUGUCUGACAUCUUGGUUUCAGUUUAAAAACAUGCAGGAAUUUGAAAAUAAAAUGCAGGACUUGCUUGAUGUUUAAAGAGCUAUUAAGGGAGAUAAAGUUCGGGAACUGAUUUAUGUUAAAAAAGUUAUUAAGAUGACAAACUCGCGCUGACUGACAGAUCCGAAAUGCAACGCAGAGACACGCAAGUGGCGCAGUAUAUGCACAGAAUAGUUCAAAAACAUCUGUUUUGAUAAGAAUUUACGAAAGCAUAAUAAGCAUUAGAACAAACUUGCUGAGCUCAUUUUUAUCUAUGUCCAUAUAGCGUUUGCGCGAAUAUAACCAAUUGUUUAAAAAAACUUUCUUAUUAAUCUUCAUCUAAAUAAAUAAAUAAUCAGAUAUUUGUUCAAAUUUUUAAAUAACAAUAUGCUCUAAAAAUCAGUUUUGACUUAGUUCAAAACCAGCAACAUGAUUUAAAACAAUAAUGUAAUUAGAAAUAUUUAAUUAAAAUGUUUCAGUUGUUAUUUGCUUACUUUAUUUUUAUAUUAAUUGCAAUUCAUGUCAUAGUAUUCUUCAGUUUAAAUUUUGCUUUUAAAAUGUUACAUUUUCAUAUUUUUAUCUAUUUACUUAUUUAUUUUAUAUUCACCUAGAUUGACAAUAAAGCUUUCUUCGAAUAGAAGUAAUUAAAAUAUCAUCUACCGGUGCCACAGAGAUACAGAGUUAUUAACGAAUAUUUUAUUAUCAGAGUGCAGCAUUUUAUCAAGGUUUUCUGGUCUAAUUAAAUAAAACUGAAUUUUUUUUACAGUUGGGUUAAAAGAAGUUUGAUAUUAGCAGCGUUUUUAAGAUUUUAAACUAAUUCCAAAACAGCUCGCGUUUCUAAAUAAGGGUUGCGCCGAAAAUGUCAUUUUAUAGAUUGCACUCAUUCACUUCACACACAUAUUAUUCGUGCUUUAAGGGGUUUAUAAUUUAGAGCUGUUCCAGUAAACACGUGAUUAUGUCUGGCCGAAUAUUUUCUCUGUUAUUCGGAUGAAUUUGUUAUUCGUUUUGAAGCUAUUAUCCGUGUCCUUCCGAAUAACGUAUUCGGCUUCGGGCACAUCCCUACCCAGGGGUAAAAGAAAUGUAUGUUAAACAUUUUUAGUUAGUCUUUUUUUGUUACUGCUACUUUCAACAAGACUAAUUAUUCAGCCAAGCUUAUUUUGUACUUUAAGAAAUGAACAGCUUUUAUGUGUUUUAAGACACAGAUAUGUGCUCACAGUUUGCCCAUAGAAUGCCCAGUGGUCCCAUAAUUUUCCCGAAGUAUGUGUAUUUAAAUAAAUUUUUCCACACAGUA